AACUUAAAGGAAUUGACGGGGGCCCGCACAAGCGGCGGAGCAUGUGGAUUAAUUCGAUGCAACGCGAAGAACCUUACCUGGGUUUGACAUACACGGAAAACCGUAGAGAUACGGUCCCCCUUGUGGUCGGUGUACAGGUGGUGCAUGGCUGUCGUCAGCUCGUGUCGUGAGAUGUUGGGUUAAGUCCCGCAACGAGCGCAACCCUUGUCUUAUGUUGCCAGCACGUGAUGGUGGGGACUCGUAAGAGACUGCCGGGGUCAACUCGGAGGAAGGUGGGGACGACGUCAAGUCAUCAUGCCCCUUAUGUCCAGGGCUUCACACAUGCUACAAUGGCCAGUACAGAGGGCUGCGAGACCGUGAGGUGGAGCGAAUCCCUUAAAGCUGGUCUCAGUUCGGAUCGGGGUCUGCAACUCGACCCCGUGAAGUCGGAGUCGCUAGUAAUCGCGGAUCAGCCAAGCCGCGGUGAAUACGUUCCCGGGCCUU
rnacentral:rRNA from 1 species